rnacentral:tRNA from 1 species
GCCCCAGUAGCAUCAAUGGUAAUGCACUCGUCUUAAGAACGAGGUCCCAACAGACAUCCGGGUUCGAUCCCCGGCUGGGGCG